GUCAAGACAGCACAUUUGGUGUACAUAAUACCGAAGAAGAUCAUGAGCUUAGCGAAUUUAUGGCUUUUACAACAUCAAAAACAGGAAUGUAGAAAACCAAAUCAUUUCUUGUCUUGAUGACGGUCAGAGACACUCCCGUCAAAGCUGAAUACGUGUGCACGUGGAUGCUAUGUGGUAAACCAGGGUUAGCUCCACAUCCCUGGCCCAGGUACCCUAUACCUCUAGUUUGCAUCCCGCAGGAAUAUGGCACACUUCAUCUCCUGAUCUAAAUGUGCUGUAGGCGGUACCAUACUAAGUCCGGUCCCCCACCCUCCGAGUGAGGGUCAGGGCGACGGACUACAGACAAAGUUAAGAGACAUGAGUAGAGUAGAGGAAGGAAAGAAGAAAGAAGGUAAGUGAAUUAGUAAGUAAGUCGGGGCAAUGAGGUUCCACGGAGGAG